rnacentral:rRNA from 1 species
AGAGUUUGAUCAUGGCUCAGAUUGAACGCUGGCGGCAGGCCUAACACAUGCAAGUCGAGCGGGGGUAGCAAUACCCUAGCGGCGAACGGGUGAGGAAUACUUGGGAAUCUGCCUCGUAGUGGGGGAUAACGUUCCGAAAGGAACGCUAAUACCGCAUACGUCCUACGGGAGAAAGGGGGGGAUCUUCGGACCUCUCGCUAUGAGAUGAGCCCAAGUCGGAUUAGCUAGUUGGUGAGGUAAAGGCUCACCAAGGCGACGAUCCGUAGCUGGUCUGAGAGGAUGAUCAGCCACACUGGAACUGAGACACGGUCCAGACUCCUACGGGAGGCAGCAGUGGGGAAUAUUGGACAAUGGGCGCAAGCCUGAUCCAGCCAUGCCGCGUGAGUGAUGAAGGCCCUAGGGUUGUAAAGCUCUUUCACCGGUGAAGAUAAUGACGGUAACCGGAGAAGAAGCCCCGGCUAACUUCGUGCCAGCAGCCGCGGUAAUACGAAGGGGGCUAG